AAUUCAACAUCGAGGUCGCAAUCAUUCUUAUCAAUAAGAUCUUUUUAAAAAUAUNACGCUGUUAUCCCUGAGGUANUUACUUCUUUC
rnacentral:rRNA from 1 species